rnacentral:rRNA from 1 species
CAGUAGCCACGGUAAUGCGUAGGUGGCAAGCGUUGUCCGGAAUUAUUGGGCGUAAAGCGAGCGCAGGCGGUUAGAUAAGUCUGAAGUUAAAGGCUGUGGCUUAACCAUAGUACGCUUUGGAAACUGUUUAACUUGAGUGCAGAAGAGGAGAGUGGAAUUCCACGUGUAGCGGUGAAAUGCGUAGAGAUGUGGAGGAACACCAGUGGCGAAGGCGACUCUCUGGUCUGUAACUGACGCUGAGGAGCGAAAGCGUGGGGAGCGAACAGGAUUAGAUACCCGUGUAGUCCCUGUCUCUUAUACA